rnacentral:rRNA from 1 species
AUUGAACGCUGGCGGCAGGCCUAACACAUGCAAGUCGAACGGAGUGGCGGACGGGUGAGUAAUAUCUCGGAAUCUGCUCUGUCGAGGGGGAUAACGACGGGAAACGGAAGCUAAUACCGCAUACCAUCGAAUGUGCCCAUGUGGGAUUAGCUAGUUGGAGGGGUAACGGCUCACCUAGGCGACGAUCCGUAACUGGUCUGAGAGGAUGAUCAGGCACACUGGAACUGAGACACGGUCCAGACGCCUACGGGAGGCAGCAGUGGGGAAUAUUGGACAAUGGGCGAAAGCCUGAUCCAGCCAUGCCGCGUGUGUGAAGAAGGUCUUCGGGUUGUAAAGCACUUUAAGUUGGGAGGCGUGACCCACAGAAUAAGCACCGGCUAACUUCGUGCCAGCAGCCGCGGUAAUUC